rnacentral:tRNA from 1 species
GCCUGGGUGGCUCAGUGGUUGAGCAUCUGCCUUUGGCUCAGGUCAUGAUCCCAGGGUCCUGGGAUCGAAUCUCACCUCGGGUC